CUGCUGCCUUCCGUAGGAGUUUGGACCGUGUCUCAGUUCCAAUGUGGGGGACCUUCCUCUCAGAACCCCUAUCCAUCGAUGCCUUGGUGGGCCGUUACCCCGCCAACAAGCUAAUGGAACGCAUCCCCAUCGAUGACCGAAAUUCUUUAAUAGUUCUACCAUGCGGAAGAACUAUGCCAUCGGGUAUUAAUCUUCCUUUCGAAAGGCUAUCCCGAGUAUGAGGCAGGUUGGAUACGUGUUACUCACCCGUGCGCCGGUCGCCA
rnacentral:rRNA from 1 species